ACUGCAAAAGUAGUUAAUUGGUAGAUCACAUAUACACAAAAAAAUCCAGAGAGCAAGAUAGGCUUAUCUACAGUGAGGAAACACAUGUAAAAAUUAAGGUAGUUUGUAGUUUUCAUAUGAAACAUUAAAAAAAAAUCAAACAUAUGCUACAAUGGGUGCUACCGUUUACAGUCAGAUUGAAGGGGAGGAAACACUUAUUUAGAGACAGAUAUACCACAAGGUCCAGCAUCAGGGCAAUAAAU